rnacentral:lncRNA from 1 species
AGGGUAAGUAAUACUCUAGUAAACAAAAAAGCCCCAAAUGAGAGGGGGAAAAAAAUCGAGAGAUGUGUAUUUAGAAGCUUUCUUUGCUUAUUUCAAUUUUUCUCAGAAUGUCUGAAUUUGAAAAUAAGUAAAAUCCAAGUUAAAUUAACUCCGUAUUUUAAAUACACCUUAUCUAAAUUAUGAUCUAAAAUAUUUGUGUCCUUAUUUUUAAUUUCACUUGAAAAUUUUUUGUCGUUUUCACUGCUACUCCUUCCAAAUUUCCUUCAUGCUUUUACAGUAGCUCUUUCUCAGCCUCCACUUUCUGUCUCCACUCAGGCAGAAUGUGCCAUUUGUCAUAAACUCAUGUGAGAAGACCAUCCCAGGCCUACCAGACAGAGGAAUUGAUCCCCAUCAGUGUAAAGGAUGAUCUCCUACCAUAUAUAUUUCUUAAUAUACUAAAUCUUUGAAUUUCUAUAGUCUGAGAGGCAGUAGGGAAAUUGCACCCACCUGAGUAUGUAAGUACUCAAAAACGUUGCUGAAUGUACGUCAAAUAAAAAUAACAAUAAUAUAUUUAACUUUACUUCUUCAGUUGUCAUUUAUACUUUGUUCUGGUCCUUAAGUGGGAAGAACAGUACAUGAAGCAGUGACUCUUGUAUUUGUGUUAAAUUUUUAUGCUGAAUACAUCUCUGCAAAAUGGGAAAGACUAAGUGUCUUUCAAAAACAAUGGCCAAAAUACUCUUGAAAAUUAAAUAAACUAAUAUUUUAUAUAAUUUGAAAUAUGUAGUAGGCUGUAUAAUGGAAAAAAAAUAUGUAGUCCUGGAGGAAUACAUAGUCUUGUUGCUGCGAUGGCUACAAUUAUAAACAGAGUCCCUCUAUAGUUCUCAUAAUAAAUAUAUGGAAAAGUAAAGCUCCCAGUUUUCUUCCUUGUUUGAAAUAUUAAAUAACAUUUUAUGAAAAACAUGACAUAGAAUCAAAUAGGAGAUAAACAUCCUCCCACAAGUAGGGUCAAUGAUGUAUAAUCACAUCCAAAAAUUUAGGAGUAGUGCCAAAAUGUCCUUUUAUUGAAAAAAGAAAACAGUAUUGUCCCUGCUAUAUUCCUUGUAUCUUUCUUGCUUGGGAUACAGUUGCCCAACACAAAAUAACUCCUUAUUCUAAGAGUUUCUAUCUACUUCUACCAAUAUGUUGAAAACACAUCCAAAGUUAAAGUUAUAUUAAUCUCUAAACAAACAAGCUCUGUUUAGAGCUUUAUUUCACCUUAUAGUAUUAUUGGUGGAGAUUCUUUAUAUUUUUAUAGAAUUAGGCACAGUGAUGGGUACAAAAUUAGUUCUCAAAAAUAAGAGUCAACUGGAUUGAAUCAAAAUCCUUGGGUAUUUAACCUUGGGAUUUGAAUAGUAACACUGUCUGUCUAAUUGCUUUUAAGCGAAAAUAGAUUGUUUGAAAAAAGAGUAGGGAGAUAUAUAAACCUAUUUUAUAAUUAAGUCUAUUUGGAGAUUAUUUCUACGUCUUUUAAGUGUUGUUGUUUUUCAUGUUCAGUCAGAACUGCUGAUACUGCUGAGGUUCUAAUCUGAUAAUUAUAAUAACAUAUUUUGAUUUAAAAAAUAAUCACAGUAAUUGAGUUUUAUUUUGCAGAAGGGAAUUUAAAAAACAGAAGCAGCAAUCAUAGAUAAAAAGGGAAUUUUUCAAGUCAGCAAAGAGUCAGUAUAAGUAAGAAGCAGCUCCAGAAAGGAACCACAUAUAUUAUCUGAAUAUUUAUCAUUUAUUUAUUAGACUUGUCUAAUCCAAAACAUCUGAUUUAAUUAUUCCUCUAUGAUAAAGAUGAAAUGUAUAUAUCAUUUAUAAACUACUUCUUGUUUUAAGCAAAAGUCAAAGCAGAGCCAUCUAAUGGACUAAAGUGACCCAUCCACUUUGUAGAUAUAUAUUUAUUGCUAACAUAAUGCCUGAACCUUAAAAGACUAAUAAAAAUUACCAUAGAAAUCUUUCUGUAGAUGGUCUUUGAAUACAAAAAUGCUGAUGUUCCCUAUUACGUAGCUAUUUGAAUUCAAAGAUUUAAACAUAUUUCAAUAUUUUUGUUUAUAUAUAAUUAUAAAAUAUUACUUUGGGCAAUUUAUUUUAAAAAUUAAUUUAAAAACAAGUGAUGGUGUCACAGAAUAGUUGAUAUUAAAGAGUUGGUAGUAAUAGAUAUAAUAGGCAAUUGAUUAAAAUAAAAACAAAGCAGGAUAAUGAGUCAACACUUUUUAGGGCUUAUAAAGUAUCAAGCACUCUUACAAUUGUGUUAUAUGUAUUAAUUAAUUUAAUUCAUGUGAAAUGCAAUGGAAGUUAAGGCACAAGAAUAUUGAAGAAUUAUCACCAAGACCACACAGCUGGGAUGAAAGAAAUUUGAGAUUAAAUUUAAAAAUACUGCUCCUUUAACUACUUUUAACCAUGUCAUUAUGGCCACCAGGGAUAAAUGUGACAAUUAUACCUUUAAAUUGUUUUUUAGAUUUAGAAUUUGUAAUUAUCAAGAUGACAUACUGAACAUUCUCUCAUGAUGCUGGGCAGCAGCAACAAGCCGUAGCUCGCAGUCAGCCAUGCAAUCCCAAGUAUAAACAACUUAUAUGCUUACAACCCAUUCUGCACCCAGACAACCAUUUUGUUUUUCACUUUCAGUACAGUGUUCAAUAUAUUACAUGAGAUAUUCAACACCUCAUUAUAAAAUAGGCUUUGUGUUAGGUGAUCUUGCUCACCUAUAUGCUAGUUUAAAUGUUCUGAACACAUUUAAAGUUGGCUAUGCUAAGCUCUGAAGUUCAAUAGGUUAAGUGUAUUAAAUGUAUUUUCUACUUAAAAUAUUUUCAGUUUAUGAUGAGUUUUUCAUUGUAAAUUGAAAAAGAUCUGUAUAGAUUAUUUCAUUUUGUUUUUAUUUGUAUCACUCAUCCUCAUGAGUGCUGAAAUUUGAGAGAAUAUCCUGUGCUCCUUUCUCUGGCCAUCACAGGAUAACAUAAGAGAACUGUAGAUCAAUGGAUGGUAAUGAGUAUUCAUUUUGAUAUGAGUAGAUAUGACUGACCAUGUAGAUAUGAAGAUUUAUUCACUGGUAUAUAAAAACUAAUAGAAUAAAAGGAAAAGAGAUGAGGACAUUUAUAAGUAAUCAAAAGAGUUAAUAACCAGGAGAUUCAGAAAAAUGUAUUAAUAAUGCUUUUCAACAGGCAUUUCAUGAUUUUAAUAUAGCAAAAAUUAUUUGCUUUAGUCAAAUGUUGGUGUUUGAUCACUGCUUUGUCAUAGGUAACACAAAAUAUUUUUUCAAUGAAAACAUAUACUGGACUCAUUGAUGAUGACAUGAGGCUGAUGAUGCUACCAAUACGUCUUCAUUACCUAUAAAAUGAUUCUUUGGGCAACCCUCCAAAACACUGGCAAAUGAUUUAUUAAUAAAAAAAUCUCAGCACAUCUCACAUAAACACACACACACAACAAUCACACAAAACACACACAAUCCUUAAUAAAUAGUUCAAUUUAUCAAGGAUUAAUUGAGGUGCCUAAUCUAGAAUAGAAUGUGAAAAGGAAUAUAUAAAUGGAAAAGGUCAUCCCUGGCUCAAGAUGCACUCAAAAAAAAAAAAAAAUGAGUGUGUAAGGUUCACAAAACAAGCUAGCAAAUCCAAUAUUUAAAUACUAUAAUGGCAAAUUUUAAAUACUUGGAAAAAAUUAAAUAUCACCUAUGAUAACCUAAAAGCCUCUUUCCAAUUCAAUUCAACUUUGUAAAACAUUAGGCUUAUUAUGAAGGACAUUUAUUGAAGAAUAAUAAUGAUAAUAUAGGAAAAAGUAAAAAUAUAUCUGUAUUGACAACAAAUUUUAUUAUUAGUUUGUUAGUUAAAUCUCAGAAAGUAUACUAAUCACAUAUUGAUGUGUAUUUACAAUAAAAUAACUGACCUAUUAAAUUGACAUCAAGUCUUUUUUAAAGGUUCUUAAUUUGUUCUGUGAUCAGUCAUCCUGUUGAUUACAUGUUCAAGUACAGUCCUAAUUGAUCAUGGAGUCUUUUACUAUAAAUUACAGCAGGGGAAUAACAGAUUUCACAGGUUGGCUGUGGCUUAAUGACAGAUUUCACAGUUUGAAUAGGAAAAGGAUAUAAACACACACAGAAAUAAGGUAGAUACAUGAAUUCAUGACGUGAAAAGUUCCUUUCUAAUGCAUAUAGAAACAUUGAUGAAUGUGAGAUACAAAGGGAAUAUUAAAGGCUAAAAAAAUAAUAACAUAUGCUAUCAAUUACCUCUACUGAAACUUUGUUUUUAAAGAAUCGAUAAAUAUGUAUAGGAUUUGAUGUUGAAAAUGCUCAACAUAUUAACCCAUGGAAUAAAAAUAUUCAGUUUAACUAAAAAUAUAAAUAAGUAAAAUUCUGAGCUACUUACUAACUUGUAGUUAAUAUUUCUUAUAUAUACAUGGUAUUUUCCACCCAGUACACCUUUGAUUUUUAAAGGAAUCAAUUCAUUGCAAGGACACAGAACUUUGUGAAAAUACAGUGUCUCUCCUUUCCAUACAAAACUGAGGUCCUUGUAUCAGAUUCAUGAAUACCUGAUCAUUAACAUGUCUUUAGAUUUUUGUCAAGCUUAUAAACUUUAAUGAUUAAGAUACCAGUUUCAAAACAACCAAAAUUCUGAUUCUCUUUGGGUUUGAGAGUGAUAUACUAUCUGGUGUAAUUUAAAAUUUCUUCUUUACAACUAGUUUUUGGAUCUUUAAAAUUACUAAGAAAAAGUUAAGUGAUUGCUAAUUCAAGGCUAGAUGAUAUAAGAAGUUGGAUUUUCUUAUAUUAUGUAGUAAGAUAAAAUAAUUAAAAGUAGAAUUCUGCUAAUAAAAUAUAUUGGUUAAUAUCAGAGUAUUAAUAAACAGCAAAAUGUUGUCUGCAUGAGACAUACCAUCAUAAAAUAUGGCAUGAAAUCAAGCAGUGAAACCUUAGAUAUGCUAUAUAAAUUCAUUAAUACAAAGAUAUUUUUUGUCUUUAAAUGGUGUAACUUUCAUUUAUAAGAAAAAUAAUUAUAACAUUUCCAUUAAGAAAAGUGAUGGGAGUUCCUGUUGUGGCACAGUGGAAAUGAAUCCAACUAGUAACCAUGAGGUUGCGGGUUUGAUCCAUAGCCUCACUCAGUGGGUUAAGGAUCCAGCAUUGCCAUGAGCUGUGGUGUAGGUCACAGACGUGGCUUGGAUCUUUUUAAUUGCCGUGGCUGUGGUAUAGGCCAGCAGCUGAGGCUCUGAUUUGAUUACCCCUAACCUGGGAACCUCCAUAUGCCUCAAGUGCGGCCCUCAG